rnacentral:rRNA from 1 species
GCCUGAUGGAGGGGGAUAACUACUGGAAACGGUAGCUAAUACCGCAUAACGUCGCAAGACCAAAGAGGGGGACCUUCGGGCCUCUUGCCAUCGGAUGUGCCCAGAUGGGAUUAGCUAGUGGGGGGGGUAACGGCUCACCUAGGCAACGAUCCCUAUCUGGUCUGAAAGGAUGACCACCCACACUGGAACUGAAACACGGUCCACACUCCUACGGGAGGCAGCAGUGGGAAAUAUUGCACAAUGGGCGCAAGCCUGAUGCACCCAUGCCGCGUGUAUAAAAAAGGCCUUCGGGUUGUAAAGUACUUUCAGCGGGGAGGAAGGGAGUAAAGUUAAUACCUUUGCUCAUUGACUUUCCCCGCAAAAAAAGCACCGGCUAACUCCGUGCCAGCACCCGCGGUAAUACGGAGGGUGCAAGCGUUAAUCGGAAUUACUGGGCGUAAAGCGCACGCGGGCGGUUUGUUAAGUCAUAUGUGAAAUCCCCGGGCUCAACCUGGGAACUGCAUCUGAUACUGGCAAGCUUGACUCUCGUAGAGGGGGAUAGAAUUCCGGGUGUAGCGGUGAAAUGCGUAGA